rnacentral:rRNA from 1 species
GAUGAACGCUGGCGGCGUGCCUAAUACAUGCAAGUCGAGCGAACGGACGAGAAGCUUGCUUCUCUGAUGUUAGCGGCGGACGGGUGAGUAACACGUGGAUAACCUACCUAUAAGACUUGGAUAACUUCGGGAAACCGGAGCUAAUACCGGAUAAUAUUUUGAACCGCAUGGUUCAAAAGUGAAAGACGGUCUUGCUGUCACUUAUAGAUGGAUCCGCGCUGCAUUAGCUAGUUGGUAAGGUAACGGCUUACCAAGGCAACGAUGCAUAGCCGACCUGAGAGGGUGAUCGGCCACACUGGAACUGAGACACGGUCCAGACUCCUACGGGAGGCAGCAGUAGGGAACCUUCCGCAAUGGGCGAAAGCCUGACGGAGCAACGCCGCGUGAGUGAUGAAGGUCUUCGGAUCGUAAAACUCUGUUAUUAGGGAAGAACAUAUGUGUAAGUAACUGUGCACAUCUUGACGGUACCUAAUCAGAAAGCCACGGCUAACUACGUG